rnacentral:rRNA from 1 species
GACGAACGCUGGCGGCGUGCUUAACACAUGCAAGUCGAACGGAAAGGCCCUGCUUUUGUGGGGUGCUCGAGUGGCGAACGGGUGAGUAACACGUGAGUAACCUGCCCUUGACUUUGGGAUAACUUCAGGAAACUGGGGCUAAUACCGGAUAGGAGCUCCUGCUGCAUGGUGGGGGUUGGAAAGUUUCGGCGGUUGGGGAUGGACUCGCGGCUUAUCAGCUUGUUGGUGGGGUAGUGGCUUACCAAGGCUUUGACGGGUAGCCGGCCUGAGAGGGUGACCGGCCACAUUGGGACUGAGAUACGGCCCAGACUCCUACGGGAGGCAGCAGUGGGGAAUAUUGCACAAUGGGCGGAAGCCUGAUGCAGCAACGCCGCGUGCGGGAUGACGGCCUUCGGGUUGUAAACCGCUUUCGCCUGUGACGAAGCGUGAGUGACGGUAAUGGGUAAAGAAGCACCGGCUAACUACGUGCCAGCAGCCGCGGUGAUACGUAGGGUGCGAGCGUUGUCCGGAUUUAUUGGGCGUAAAGGGCUCGUAGGUGGUUGAUCGCGUCGGAAGUGUAAUCUCGGGGCUUAACCCUGAGCGUGCUUUCGAUACGGGUUGACUUGAGGAAGGUAGGGGAGAAUGGAAUUCCUGGUGGAGCGGUGGAAUGCGCAGAUAUCAGGAGGAACACCAGUGGCGAAGGCGGUUCUCUGGGCCUUUCCUGACGCUGAGGAGCGAAAGCGUGGGGAGCGAACAGGCUUAGAUACCCUGGUAGUCCACGCUGUAAACGGUGGGUACUAGGUGUGGGGUCCAUUCCACGGGUUCCGUGCCGUAGCUAACGCUUUAAGUACCCCGCCUGGGGAGUACGGCCGCAAGGCUAAAACUCAAAGGAAUUGACGGGGCCCCGCACAAGCGGCGGAGCAUGCGGAUUAAUUCGAUGCAACGCGUAGAACCUUACCCGGGUUUGACAUGGAUCGGGAGUGCUCAGAGAUGGGUGUGCCUCUUUUGGGGUCGGUUCACAGGUGGUGCAUGGCUGUCGUCAGCUCGUGUCGUGAGAUGUUGGGUUAAGUCCCGCAACGAGCGCAACCCUUGUUCACUGUUGCCAGCACGUUAUGGUGGGGACUCAGUGGAGACCGCCGGGGUCAACUCGGAGGAAGGUGGGGAUGACGUCAAGUCAUCAUGCCCCUUAUGUCCAGGGCUUCACGCAUGCUACAAUGGCUGGUACAGAGAGUGGCGAGCCUGUGAGGGUGAGCGAAUCUCGGAAAGCCGGUCUCAGUUCGGAUUGGGGUCUGCAACUCGACCUCAUGAAGUCGGAGUCGCUAGUAAUCGCAGAUCAGCAACGCUGCGGUGAAUACGUUCCCGGGGCU